rnacentral:tRNA from 2 species
UUUCAGUCCUCUGCUCUACCAGCUGAGCUAUCCCGACC